CGCCGAGUUGGACACGGAUGGGCUGGGACGGGUUUGGGGGGGUGUCCCCAGUUCUGACUGGGAGUGGAGGAACCCCCUCCUCAGCUCGCUUGUGGGGGUCCCCCCCUCCCUAGGGCACUCCCCACUCCCUGAGCCAGCCGAGAGGAAGGAGGCCAGCGAUGCGACUGGGGCGGCUCCUUUCUCCUGCACCCCAAAUGUGAGGGAUGCACCCCAAAUUUUGCUCCCUUCAAAAUAGGGGACCAGGAUCUCAGGGGAGAGUAGCUGAGUCCUCAUGGGGACGCUAACAAAACUGAAAACUAGCAACAAAGUGGGAACGAUGUUGAGCUAGGAGUUCUGAGAAAGAUGGAACAGUGGGUAUGGAGGAAAAAAGCUGCCCACCCCCCUCUUUCUCUACCAGCCACCCCUCCCUCACACUGUCCGUUCCUUGAUGACACAGCUGAUGUGAUUAAGAUCGUCCCCAAACCGCUUCA